rnacentral:rRNA from 1 species
CGACUUCAGUUGAAAAUGGAGCGGAUGACCUGUGGAUAGGGGUGAAAGGCCAAUCAAACUCGGUGAUAGCUGGUUCUCCGCGAAAUGCAUUUAGGUGCAGCGUCGUGCGUUCAACGAUGGGGGUAGAGCACUGAAUGGGCUAGGGGUCCUACAAGACUACCGACCCCAAUCAAACUCCGAAUACCAUCGUUCCAGAGCACGGCAGUGAGACCUCGGGGGAUGAGCUUCGAGGUCGAGAGGGAAACAGCCCAGACCGCCGGCUAAGGUCCCAAAAUCUGAACUAAGUGGUAAACGAUGUGAGAUUGCGAAGACAGCCAGGAGGUUGGCUUGGAAGCAGCCAUCCUUGAAAGAGUGCGUAACAGCUCACUGGUCGAGUGAUCUUGCGCGGACAAUGUAACGGGGCUCAAGUUCAGUACCGAAGCCGCGGAUGCGACUCUUUGAGUCGUGUGGUAGUGGAGCGUCGAGCGUGCAGCGAAGCGGCGGGACAACCCAGCCGUGGAGCGCGUUCGAGUGCGAAUGUUGGCAUGAGUAGCGAAGGAGGGGUGAGAACCCCCUCCGCCGUAUGUCCAAGGGUUCCUGGGCGAGGCCAAUCCUCCCAGGGUGAGUCGGGAGCUAAGGCGAGGCCGAGAGGCGUAGUCGAUGCACAACUGGUUGAUAUUCCAGUACCACCAUGUUCGCGUCCGUCCCAAUACUCUGUUGCUAAGGGGCUGUGUUGACUUCGGUCAACGCGAACCGACCCACAUUGUUGCGGGAAGCUGUAGGGGGACGCAGGAAGGUAGAUGAACCCGGUGAAUGGUAGAACCGGGGUAAGCGUGUAGGAGGAGGACCAGGUAAAUCCGGGCCUCAUAAACUCUGAGACGUGAUACCGAGCCGCUUCAGGCGAAGUCAUUGAUCCUAUGCUGCCUAGAAAAGCCCAGCAGCGAGUUGACAUGGUGCCCGUACCCCAAACCAACACAGGUGGACAGGUAGAGCAUACCAAGGCGAGUGGGAUAACUAUGGUUAAGGAACUCGGCAAAUUGCCUCCGUAACUUCGGGAGAAGGAGGACCCCAGUAGCGUGAUGAGACUUGCUCUCUGAGCGUGAAGGGGUGGCACAAAAUUGAGGGAAGCGACUGUUUAUCAAAAACACAGCAGCGUGCUAAGCCGUAAGGCGCUGUAUACGCUGUGACUCCUGCCCGGUGCUGGAAGGUUACGGGGAUGGGUUAGUCCUUCGGGACGAAGCACUGAACCUAAGCCCCAGUAAACGGCGGCCGUAACUAUAACGGUCCUAAGGUAGCGAAAUUCCUUGUCGGGUAAGUUCCGACCUGCACGAAUGGAGUAACGACUUCCCUACUGUCUCAACCAUAGACCCAGCGAAAUUGAAGUACGAGUAAAGAUGCUCGUUAGCUGCAGAAGGACGGAAAGACCCCGUGGACCUUUACUAUAACUUGAUGUU